GACGAACGCUUGCGGCGUGCUUAACACAUGCAAGUCGAACGGAAAGGCCCUGCUUUUGUGGGGUGCUCGAGUGGCGAACGGGUGAGUAACACGUGAGUAACCUGCCCUUGACUUUGGGAUAACUUCAGGAAACUGGGGCUAAUACCGGAUAGGAGCUCCUGCUGCAUGGUGGGGGUUGGAAAGUUUCGGCGGUUGGGGAUGGACUCGCGGCUUAUCAGCUUGUUGGUGGGGUAGUGGCUUACCAAGGCUUUGACGGGUAGCCGGCCUGAGAGGGUGACCGGCCACAUUGGGACUGAGAUACGGCCCAGACUCCUACGGGAGGCAGCAGUGGGGAAUAUUGCACAAUGGGCGGAAGCCUGAUGCAGCAACGCCGCGUGCGGGAUGACGGCCUUCGGGUUGUAAACCGCUUUCGCCUGUGACGAAGCGUGAGUGACGGUAAUGGGUAAAGAAGCACCGGCUAACUACGUGCCAGCAGCCGCGGUGAUACGUAGGGUGCGAGCGUUGUCCGGAUUUAUUGGGCGUAAAGGGCUCGUAGGUGGUUGAUCGCGUCGGAAGUGUAAUCUUGGGGCUUAACCCUGAGCGUGCUUUCGAUACGGGUUGACUUGAGGAAGGUAGGGGAGAAUGGAAUUCCUGGUGGAGCGGUGGAAUGCGCAGAUAUCAGGAGGAACACCAGUGGCGAAGGCGGUUCUCUGGGCCUUUCCUGACGCUGAGGAGCGAAAGCGUGGGGAGCGAACAGGCUUAGAUACCCUGGUAGUCCACGCUGUAAACGGUGGGUACUAGGUGUGGGGUCCAUUCCACGGGUUCCGUGCCGUAGCUAACGCUUUAAGUACCCCGCCUGGGGAGUACGGCCGCAAGGCUAAAACUCAAAGGAAUUGACGGGGCCCCGCACAAGCGGCGGAGCAUGCGGAUUAAUUCGAUGCAACGCGUAGAACCUUACCUGGGUUUGACAUGGAUCGGGAGCGCUCAGAGAUGGGUGUGCCUCUUUUGGGGUCGGUUCACAGGUGGUGCAUGGCUGUCGUCAGCUCGUGUCGUGAGAUGUUGGGUUAAGUCCCGCAACGAGCGCAACCCUUGUUCACUGUUGCCAGCACGUUAUGGUGGGGACUCAGUGGAGACCGCCGGGGUCAACUCGGAGGAAGGUGGGGAUGACGUCAAGUCAUCAUGCCCCUUAUGUCCAGGGCUUCACGCAUGCUACAAUGGCUGGUACAGAGAGUGGCGAGCCUGUGAGGGUGAGCGAAUCUCGGAAAGCCGGUCUCAGUUCGGAUUGGGGUCUGCAACUCGACCUCAUGAAGUCGGAGUCGCUAGUAAUCGCAGAUCAGCAACGCUGCGGUGAAUACGUUCCCGGG
rnacentral:rRNA from 1 species